rnacentral:rRNA from 1 species
UACGUAGGGUGCAAGCGUUACUCGGAAUUACUGGGCGUAACGCGUGCGCAGGCGGUUUUGUAAGUCUGUCGUGAAAGCCCCGGGCUCAACCUGGGAAUUGCGAUGGAGACUGCAAGGCUUGAAUCUGGCAGAGGGGGGUAGAAUUCCACGUGUAGCAGUGAAAUGCGUAGAGAUGUGGAGGAACACCGAUGGCGAAGGCAGCCCCCUGGGUCAAGAUUGACGCUCAUGCACGAAAGCGUGGGGAGCAAACAGG